rnacentral:rRNA from 1 species
UGACGAAGGGGGCUAGCGUUGCUCGGAAUCACUGGGCGUAAAGCGCACGUAGGCGGACUCUUAAGUCGGUGGUGAAAUCCUGGAGCUCAACUCCAGAACUGCCUUCGAUACUGGGAGUCUUGAGUCCGGGAGAGGUGAGUGGAACUGCGAGUGUAGAGGUGAAAUUCGUAGAUAUUCGCAAGAACACCAGUGGCGAAGGCGGCUCACUGGCCCGGUACUGACGCUGAGGUGCGAAAAGCGUGGGGAGCAAACAGG